rnacentral:rRNA from 1 species
ACUCCUACGGGAGGCAGCAGUGGGGAAUAUUGCACAAUGGGCGCAAGCCUGAUGCAGCCAUGCCGCGUGUAUGAAGAAGGCCUUCGGGUUGUAAAGUACUUUCAGCAGUGAGGAAGGUGGAUAUGUUAAUAGUACAUACUCAUUUUGACUGUUAGCUUGCAGAAGAAGACACCGGCGUAACUCCGUGCCAGCAGCCGCGGUAAUACGGAGGGUGCGAGCGUUAAUCGGAAUUACUGGGCGUAAAGCGCAUGCAGGUGGCUUGUUAAGUCAGAUGUGAAAGCCCGGGGCUCAACCUCGGAAUUGCAUUUGAAACUGGCAA